ACCUACGGGGCGCAGCAGUGGGGAAUAUUGGUCAAUGGGCGCAAGCCUGAACCAGCCAUGCCGCGUGCAGGAAGAAGGUCCUAUGGAUUGUAAACUGCUUUUAUUUGGGAAUAAACCUCUUUACGUGUAGAGAGCUGAAGGUACCAAAUGAAUAAGCACCGGCUAACUCCGUGCCAGCAGCCGCGGUAAUACGGAGGGUGCAAGCGUUAUCCGGAAUCAUUGGGUUUAAAGGGUCCGCAGGCGGGCUUAUAAGUCAGUGGUGAAAGCCCAUCGCUUAACGAUGGAACUGCCAUUGAUACUGUAAGUCUUGAAUUCGGUCGAAGUGGGCGGAAUGUGACAUGUAGCGGUGAAAUGCUUAGAUAUGUCACAGAACACCGAUAGCGAAGGCAGCUCACUAGGCCUGGAUUGACGCUCAUGGACGAAAGCGUGGGGAGCAAACAGGAUUAGAUACCCGCGU
rnacentral:rRNA from 1 species